rnacentral:rRNA from 1 species
GACAUAGGUGGCGAACGUUAUCCGGAUUUAUUGGGCGUAAAGGAUGCGUAGAUGGCAGGGUAAGUUAUCGGUCGAAAUCGGGCUCAACUCGAUGGAGGCUAAUAAUACUACUCUGCUGGAGGACAGGAGAGGUUAACGGAACUCUAUGAGUAGGGGUGAAAUCCAUUGAUCUAUAGGGGACCCCCAAAAAAGGCGAAGGCAGUUAACUAUUCUGUUCCUGACAUUGAGGCAUGAAAGCGUGGGGAGCAAAACGG